rnacentral:rRNA from 1 species
AGAGUUUGAUCAUGGCUCAGGAUGAACGCUGGCGGCGUGCCUAACACAUGCAAGUCGAGCGAACCCUUCGGGGUGAGCGGCGGACGGGUGAGUAACGCGUGGGUAACCUGCCCUAUACACACGGAUAACGUACCGAAAGGUACGCUAAUACGAGAUGACAUAUUUUUAUCGCAUGGUAGAAAUAUCAAAGCUCCGGCGGUAUAGGAUGGACCCGCGUCUGAUUAGCUAGUUGGUAAGGUAAUGGCUUACCAAGGCGACGAUCAGUAGCCGACCUGAGAGGGUGAUCGGCCACAUUGGAACUGAGACACGGUCCAAACUCCUACGGGAGGCAGCAGUGGGGAAUAUUGCACAAUGGGCGAAAGCCUGAUGCAGCAACGCCGCGUGAGCGAUGAAGGCCUUCGAGUCGUAAAGCUCUGUCCUCAAGGAAGAUAAUGACGGUACUUGAGGAGGAAGCCCCGGCUAACUACGUGCCAGCAGCCGCGGUAAUACGUAGGGGGCUAGCGUUAUCCGGAAUUACUGGGCGUAAAGGGUGCGUAGGUGGUUUCUUAAGUCAGAGGUGAAAGGCUACGGCUCAACCGUAGUAAGCCUUUGAAACUGAGAAACUUGAGUGCAGGAGAGGAGAGUAGAAUUCCUAGUGUAGCGGUGAAAUACGUAGAUAUUAGGAGGAACACCAGUGGCGAAGGCGGCUUUCUGGACUGAUACUGACGCUGAGGAACGAAAGCGUGGGGAGCAAACAGGAUUAGAUACCCUGGUAGUCCACGCUGUAAACGAUGAGUGCUAGGUGUUGGGGGUCGAACCUCAGUGCCGCAGUAAACGCAUUAAGCACUCCGCCUGGGGAGUACGGUCGCAAGACUGAAACUCAAAGGAAUUGACGG